UGCUAUCACAAACAUCCAGUUGUAAUUUUUAGGUUAAGAUGGAGAAAGUGUUGAGCAGCAGCAAAUCUAUCUGUGUUCCUUGCUGAACAAUGUAAAUAAAAAUAUUUUCAUUUCUUUAAAAUGCAAUUUAUAUUUUGUUGCUAAUUUCUUAAAGGAGAAUGCUUCUUGAGGCCUACCAGCUAUUUUUUAAUCAAUUUAUCAGCACUGCACUACUUGCAUUGCUCUUUGACUGUACCACUCAGCAAAGAGUUAAAAGACAAAUCCUCCAACUAUCCAUUCAAGAAUCUGAAUUUAUUAUUUAACAUUCAAGAAUCUGAAUUUAACUAAAUUGUGCUCUUUGUUUGUUGUUGUUGUUUUCUUUUUUUCCUUUCUUUACCUUUUUAUAAGUGAAAUCUUAGAUUACCCUUUAUGUUAUUUUGGCUAGAUUUGCUGUUAGUCUGCCUGACACUCCAUUGCUGGGUCUGCUUUUCUUUCUGAUAGAUGGAAUACUCUUAAAUCUUCCCAUAACACUUCAGAAGAUAUUAAGAAACAGCAGUGAGCCAACAGUCUUCAUAGUUAAGCAUUUUUGAAUACUUCAAAUGAAAGGAAAUGGAGAUAAACAAGCACCUCUUGGAGGCAAUUCAUUCCAUCCUACUAUGUGGCUACGUGAGACUAGAAAGCUGAUUUUGAGUGGAAUGCUUUAUACCUUCAAGCAUUUAUUUUGGUUUUGUAAGUUAAAUACUUGAGAUCUUUGUCUUUUUGCUAAGUAAUUUUUCAAACAUCUCAUCACUCUCUAGCAUCUUCUUUGCCUUUUCCAUUUUACUUUCAUUAUUCCUGAAUUGUGAACCAUGCAGCUCUACACAGUACUGAUGCAGUCAGUCACCAAACUAAUGCUAGUAGAAGAUGUGCAGUGUUUUAAAUCCUGACAUGUUGCUGUUGUUUUUGCUUUUUCCUUUUAACUUCUGCACUGUAUUGCUUCUUUGCAAAGUUAAUAUUAACCUUAGCAGAUUCUCUGCUAGCACUGUAUAGUCCCACUGUGAUCAUUUUUUUCCAAAUACUCCAUGAACUAAAAACACCAAAGAAAGCUCAUUUGAAAUGUAAGAAUUCUCAAUAAACUGUAGUAAAUAUUUCA
rnacentral:lncRNA from 1 species